rnacentral:rRNA from 1 species
GAUGAACGCUGGCGGCGUGCUUAACACAUGCAAGUCGAACGAUGAAGCCCAGCUUGCUGGGUGGAUUAGUGGCGAACGGGUGAGUAACACGUGAGUAACCUGCCCUUAACUCUGGGAUAAGCCUGGGAAACUGGGUCUAAUACCGGAUAGGAGCGUCCACCGCAUGGUGGGUGUUGGAAAGAUUUAUCGGUUUUGGAUGGACUCGCGGCCUAUCAGCUUGUUGGGGAGGUAAUGGCUCACCAAGGCGACGACGGGUAGCCGGCCUGAGAGGGUGACCGGCAACAUUGGGACGGAGAAACGGCCCAGACUCCUACGGGAGGCAGCAGUGGGGAAUAUUGCACAAUGGGCGGAAGCCGGAGGCAGCAACGCCGCGGGAGGGAUGACGGCCUUCGGUUUGUAAACCUCUUUCGCCGGGGAAGAAGCGAAAGUGACGGUACUGGGUAAAGAAGCACCGGCUAACUACGUG